rnacentral:rRNA from 1 species
AUGGAGAGUUUGAUCCUGGCUCAGGACGAACGCUGGCGGCGUGCCUAACACAUGCAAGUCGAACGGAGAGAUACGAGAGCUUGCUCUUGUAAAUCUUAGUGGCAAACGGGUGAGUAACGCGUAAACAACCUGCCCAACGGAUGGGGACAACAGACGGAAACGACUGCUAAUACCCAAUAGACUCCGGUUUCGCAUGAAACCGACAGGAAAGGUGGCCUCUCGAAGAAGCUACCGCCGCAGGAGGGGUUUGCGUUUGAUUAGUUAGUUGGUGGGGUAACGGCCUACCAAGACGAUGAUCAAUAGCCGGUCUGAGAGGAUGAACGGCCACACUGGAACUGAGACACGGUCCAGACUCCUACGGGAGGCAGCAGUGGGGAAUCUUCCGCAAUGGACGAAAGUCUGACGGAGCAACGCCGCGUGAGUGAAGAAGGCCUUCGGGUUGUAAAGCUCUGUUAUUCGGGAAGAACGAUUCGUUUGUGAACAAUGAACGGAAGUGACGGUACCGAAAGAGAAAGCCACGGCUAACUACGUGCCAGCAGCCGCGGUAAUACGUAGGUGGCAAGCGUUGUCCGGAAUUAUUGGGCGUAAAGAGCGCGUAGGCGGUAUGAUAAGUCUGUCUUAGAAGUGCGGGGCUUAACCCCGUGAGGGGACAGAGACUGUCAUACUAGAGUCUCGGAGAGGAAAGCGGAAUUCCUAGUGUAGCGGUGAAAUGCGUAGAGAUUAGGAAGAACACCGGUGGCGAAGGCGGCUUUCUGGACGAGCACUGACGCUGAGGCGCGAAAGCGUGGGGAGCGAACAGGAUUAGAUACCCUGGUAGUCCACGCCGUAAACGAUGGGUACUAGGUGUAGGAGGUAUCGACCCCUUCUGUGCCGGAGUUAACGCAAUAAGUACCCCGCCUGGGGAGUACGGUCGCAAGAUUAAAACUCAAAGGAAUUGACGGGGGCCCGCACAAGCGGUGGAGUAUGUGGUUUAAUUCGACGCAACGCGAAGAACCUUACCAGGUCUUGACAUUGAUCGCAAUCCGCAGAGACGCGGAGUUCUCCUUCGGGAGACGAGAAAACAGGUGGUGCACGGCUGUCGUCAGCUCGUGUCGUGAGAUGUUGGGUUAAGUCCCGCAACGAGCGCAACCCCUAUCUUCAAUUACCAGCACGUCAUGGUGGGGACUAUGGAGAGACUGCCGAUGACAAAUCGGAGGAAGGCGGGGAUGACGUCAAGUCAUCAUGCCCCUUAUGACCUGGGCUACACACGUACUACAAUGGUCCUGACAGAGAGCAGCGAAGUGGCGACACCAAGCGAACCUCAGAAACAGGAUCCCAGUUCGGAUCGCAGGCUGCAACUCGCCUGCGUGAAGCAGGAAUCGCUAGUAAUCGCGGGUCAGCAUACCGCGGUGAAUACGUUCCCGGGCCUUGUACACACCGCCCGUCACACCACGAGAGUGGGGAACACCCGAAGCCGGUGGGAGAACCGUAAGGACUCAGCCGUCGAAGGUGGGCUUCAUGAUUGGGGUGAAGUCGUAACAAGGUAGCCGUACCGGAAGGUGCGGCUGGAUCACCUCCUUUCUAAGGAGA